rnacentral:lncRNA from 1 species
AUGAAAAUGAUAUUCACCUUGGUGUUUACUUGAUUCUGUUCUUUACCUUCUCUAUAGGAAUUCUGAUUCAAGUAUGUAUUUUUUUUAAGAUUUUUUUUUUUUUUAUUUGACAGACAGUGAUCACAACAAGUAGGCAGAGAGGCAGGCAGAGAGAGAGGAGGAAGAAGACUCCCUGGUGAGCAGAGAGCCCGAUGCGGGCUCGAUCCCAGGACCCUGGGAUCAUGACAAGAACCGAAGGCAGAGGCUUUGACCCACUGAGCUACCCAGGCGCCCCUCAACUCCAACCUUGUACACAGAGAGAGGCAACUGAUAGGAAAACCAAGAGGAGGAUUCUGAUCUCUUCCGGUACUGGCUCCUCCCAAGAUGCUGCUGAAACUGAGCCUUCCCAGAGGGACCUGUGGUUGGGCGUGGCUGCUCCAGAGGGGAGAACUCAUCAUCCCCCACACUUGUGCAGAUAGCUUAUGGGGAUGCCGGCAGCCGUACUGACUCCUUCCUGGGGCUACAACCACCACUGACUCAAGCUUGUACAUAAAACUCUUCCUUGUAAAUUUACAUUUGAAAACAUUUCCAAAAUGCU